GCCUCUCGCCUCGGCCUCAACUCGCAUUGAAUCUACCCAAAAUCAGAAUCAUAACAUUAGAAUAUGCCAAAGGGACGAAGCCCAUGCGAAAUUAAUCAAAUUAUACCAAAAAUCUCGAAAUUGGUCUAACCCGACCACCGGGCCCAUGUCUCAAAAUUCGAUAAGUCACAUCAAUGGAAUCCUUAUCCUCCCACGAGGUCAUACAUACCAAGAGUACCAAAAUCCGACCACAAAUGGCCCCUCAAAUCCCUAGAUUAAAGUCUCAAAUUUCCAAGCCCUAACUUCCUAAUUUAGGCUUCAAAUUCCCCAAAUUUCAUGUUUAAUUAGGUUAGAAAUCACAAUAGGAUCGAGUAUUAACUCCAAAAUUCUUACCUCCAAUAAGUUCUCUUUGAUUUCCUUUCAAUCCCUCUCAAAAAUCUCCAAAACCGAGUCAAAAUUGGUGGACAUAGGCCAAAACUCACGAAAAUGGUCUUUUAAACAUUCUGCCCAGCGAUCAGAAAUCCUUCUUCCCGAACGCGGUCAAAGCCUCGCGUUCACGAAGCACAAAAAUACCAUUUACCAAAAUUCUCUUACGCGAAUGCGACCACACCAUCGUGAACGAGAUGCCUCAGCAUCCCAAACCAUCGCGAAUGCGUCAGACAACUCGCGAACGCCAUGCUUCCUGUUCUGACCCUUCGUGAACGCGGGACCUCCCUCGCGAACGCAAAGGCCAAAUUUUCGGCCUCUCAUCCUAGCCCUUGGUGAACGCGAGGGCCCACUCGCGAACGCGAAGCACAAAUUUUCUACAACAGCUGAAGCCAAAACUACAACUUCCUUUAACUUGAAAUGGUCCGUUCAACCAUCCUAAACUCACCUGAGGCCCUCAGUGUCGCGCAGCCUUUUUCUCGCGAAAUUGGGUUUAUGACAUUUGGUUGGGACAACUCGUUCCUUUUGGGAACAGGGUUUUGCAUUUGAAGAGUCGCCACCUAAUGAUUUAAGGUGCAUUAGGACACCAAUAGGGUUCAAUUCUAAGUUUGAUUGAAUAACCAGAGAUAGGGUAAGGACUUGAAAUUAUCCUUAUAGGAAAGUGUUAUGCACCCCUCAGGAUCCACUGGUGUGAUUUCCGGCCAGACAGUUUAUUGUAAAUUUGUGUAAUUAACAAGUAAAUAGAUAAGGCUCACAUAAGAGAAGAGAUAAUUAAAAGAAGAGUUUUGAAAAGAAGUUUGCAAAUAAAAGGGAAGGGGUCCUAGGUUUAUAUUUAAUAUGGAUCACAUCAAUACGAUACCCGGUAUGACACUCCUCAAAAUAAGGGAUACACGUGGUAUUAGCGCACCGGUCAUCAUAUCCAUAUCUACCCUUCCCACCCCGUUAAGGUAUUUAAAGCGCGGAUUGGUCUCGAUCACUAUUGCAUGCUAUUACCUGUCCCAUUCCUAUCAGUCCCGGAGGAGCUUAGGACUACUAUUUCCUAAAGGGGAGGGAUAUUAGGCUGAUUUUGGUUUCAAAAGGUAAAAAUCUAAAGCGACAUGCAAAACACAUAAACUGCAUGUUGGGGGAAGCAUAUAAACAGAUAAAGUUCCAUGUACACCUCCUCAAAUGAAAACACAUAAAUAGUAUGAUUUGCACAUACUUUUAGGUCUGAUUAAAAUACUAAAGACGAGGGGAGUUUGAUCAUUGAGGCAGAUUAGUUUAUUACAUAAUUCAGAUAAGAAGUCCCAGUUAGGUCUGCCUGCUGGUUGUAGCAAUUAACAAAAACGGAUUCAAUUUUAUGGUUAUUACUCUAAGGUUUGCCUAAGUGUUAGAUGAGGUCCUAUAGACAUGAUAUCUAAUUGAUUCAGAAUGUGGUGAAACAGUAAUAACUCAAAACAAAUUGUUUGAAAUCCUAUAGGCAUGCUUGCUAAACCUCGUUAAACAAGGGAAUUAGGUUGUUUAAAACCAGUUCAGAAUAGGCUGAUUUAAACUAAAUCCAGAUUAUGUAGGCAAUGGUAUCUAAUGUUGCUGAUUUUAAUCCCUAUAGGCAUGAUAUCUAAUAUUGAAUGAUUUCAACAUCAUGAACAUGAUACUUACUUAUAGCCGUUUAGAACCUAAAGCAUGAUAUCUAAGUGGCAUGCAGAAUUUUAAAUAAGUCCUAUAGGCGGGUUAUCUAGAUGUGAAAUUGAUCAUGAAGAAAUUAAGAUAAACCCUAUAGACAUGGUGUCUAAAAUGCAGAAUUGAACACGCAGAAUAAAAAAUAGUCCUAUAGGCAUGCUUUCUCUCCUUGAGCAUACAUGAUUUCCCAACCCUUUUCACUAGCCAGCCCCAAGUAAUUAUUACAAAUUAUUACAGACCAGAAAUAAUUAAAUACAUCAGAAAAGUUCAAAGAAAAGUUACAACCAGAGGAAACCUGACUCUUGACUUCCUCUCUGAGUUAUGGAAUAAACCACCUCAAAUGCCAUUGAUUCAAAGUCUUUCUCAUACUUGAGUGUGUCAAAGUUCCCUAAGGGUCUCAAUAGGACCAUGGGCAAUACUUGUCACACCUCCUUUUUACCACACGAGGACGGAUAUAAGGGAGUUUUUCUAAUUUAAGUGACAUUAUUCGAUAUGCGAUUAUUUUAUUUAAUUUUUUCAGAGUUGCCACUUGGGAUAUUUAUUAUGGUGUCCCAAGUCACCGGUUUAUUUUAAAUCCCAAAUCGAGAAAAUUUUGACUUUAUUUAAAAGUCCGCGAAACCAGAAAUUCUAAACAAGGAAUUCUGUUAACCCUGGAGAAGGUGUUAGGCAUUCCCGGGGUUCGUGGUUCGAAUACGACCGCAUAAACUAUUAAUAAUUGGGGUAUUAUCUGAUUUCCUACAUGUUUUAAACCUAUUAUGCAUUUUUAGCUUUAUAACCACUUUUUAAUUAUUUUAACUGCUUUUAGGAUUUAUGGAAUUAUUUUUUGAACAAGUUAAGAUUGUCGUACACUUGCCGUUCUACAACACACCGCAAACCACGCUACAUGAAAUGCACCCGUGAUUUGUGACAUGUUUAUUUUAAUUAUUGUUCGAAGUUGUGGUCGGGUCACUUGAAAUGCACACCUGAAUUGAAAUUUAUGUAUCGUGACCAAGCCACGGGAACCGUACCCAUAGUCAUGAUGAUUUAUUAAUCGUGCCUAAAGCUAACUACGAUAUUUGAUUUAUUUUCUAAUCUAAUUUAAGAUUAUUUUAAGGCCAUAGGUUAUGGAAUUUAUUAUGGAAAGAAUAAAUUAAAUUAUUUAUGGAAAGAUAUCCUAGCUUAUAGCCUUAUCGGCAAUUUUGGUCAUGUAUUCAAACUAGAAACUUUAGUAGUACCUCAUUCACCAAUUAAACUCCAAACCCAUAUUUUGGGCAUUAACGAUUACUCCAAAAAAAGGUACUAACAAAGAAAGUGAAAGAAUGAGAAUUAAGCAAAUAACGCCCACAUCUUAACACAAAGGAAUUAUCAGUAGAUUCCAAAGCAUACCAACACCAUGCUUAUUGAUUUAUCUUUAUAAAUAAAAAAAACUAAAAGAAACACCCAACUAGAUUAAAGUAUUCAUCAAAGAAAGACAAAGUAAAGUAAUAAAUUAGUCAUGGAUCAACCUUAAGUAAAGAGGCUAAAAUAAAAUAAUAAUAAUAAAGCAUAAGAUAGAUUGGAUCCCGAAGAGUAGCGACAAGAAACAUACCUUUUUAAAAAGAAACAAAAGUCUGGAAAUAAGACCAGCAACACGUUAACCAUACUAAACGGGAACCUCACCGGAACUUUAGAUGGAUCUCUCACAUGGAAGUUCGUCUAUCUCGAUCUAUCUUCCAUGACAUUACAGGGCUGAAACGGAGCUUCGUCGGAGGAAAAAAAAUGGAGAAAUUGAUGACUGUUCGGGUCUUUUUUUUAAAGCUGGUUUUAAUGGAAUUUCAAAUUGGUUUAAGGUGAUAUAUGUGAAGUGAUAUGGGUUGAAGACUCUUUCGUUUCUUUUUAUUUUCCCACCCCCAAUUUUUGUGCAAAGAAUCCCUUGUAUGUUCUGUGCGUGUAUUUGGAGUUGGUGAAAUUAGACCGUGAAGGUCUUUGAUUUGGGGGAAGUUGGGAGACGGCAGUCUUCGAGAUUAGGAGUGUUG
rnacentral:lncRNA from 1 species